AUACGUAGGUGGCAAGCGUUGUCCGGAUUUACCGGGUGUAAAGGGCGUGUAGGCGGAGAUGCAAGUCAGGAGUGAAAUCUAGGGGCUCAACCCCUAAACUGCUUUUGAAACUGUAUCCCUUGAGUAUCGGAGAGGCAGGCGGAAUUCCUAGUGUAGCGGUGAAAUGCGUAGAUAUUAGGAGGAACACCAGUGGCGAAGGCGGCCUGCGGGACGACAACUGACGCUGAGGCGCGAAAGCGUGGGGAGCAAACAGGAUUAGAUACCCUGGUAGUCCACGCUGUAAACGAUGAAUACUAGGUGUGGGGGGACUGACCCCCUCCGUGCCGCAGUUAACACAAUAAGUAUUCCACCUGGGGGGUACGAUCGCAAGAUUGAAACUCAAAGGAAUUGACGGGG
rnacentral:rRNA from 1 species